CCUAUCGAUAGUUUCCUAUCACGCUGCCACCACCAUCAUUUUUGACAUACAUUUGCAAAUUUAUUUCGUCAAGUGAUCACAUGUUGAUAAUUUAGAUGAUGACCUGCGCAGCAGCAGAGGCGCAGCUGAUUGGAGCGGAGUUGGCCAAACGCGAAGGGUAGGCCAAAGAAGCAGCAGCGUACUUGGCCACCACUGGAGCAGCAACGGAAGCAAUCUCAGAAGCAGCAUCGAUUCCAUUGUUGUUCCUGGCGAUACUGGUGGCGGUCACAGGUGGAGUGGGAGCAGUUACCACGGCAGCGAGAGCAGAGUAGUCUAGAGGAGCAGAGUAAGCCAGAGGACCAGUGUACGCCAGGGCAGCACCCAGGAGAUCGGGCUUGGCAGCAGCGCAGGCGACGGUUAUCAGGACAAGGACGGCCUGUUAACAAAUCAGCUUGAUUAGCUUAAUCCUCUGUGGGUCCUUUCUGAAGAACGACGUCCUUGUCUUGGCCUGAACUGCUUGGUGCGCCUUGGCCUACAUUGCUAACGUGGCUUACUCUCCUCCUCUGGUCUGACUGUCGUAGUAGCUGGUCUCUCUCCAGUUGUGACCGCUGCCAGUUGUCAGGUUAAUGAAUGAAAUCGCUCUUGCUCCUGUGAUUGCUCCCGUGGCUGCUCCUCUGGCUGUGUCUCUCUUGGCCCUGUACGCAGCCGCUCCUCUGGCUGCGCCAUGACCUACUCCUCGCCUUUGGCUUACUCCGCACCACUGAGCUACGCCGUUCCAUCUGCACCGCUCCUUAUUUAAAUUACUAAGCUGUGAUCACCUCGGAGACAACGGAAAUAAAUGGAUAUUCAAUUG
rnacentral:sRNA from 1 species